rnacentral:sRNA from 1 species
UUACGUGACGAAGCCCGUACUAAAGUAGAGAAUAAAGGCUGAGAAAUUUUUAAGUCGCCAGACGCCGGCUAUGCCGGCGUUUUUAU